UACGUAGGUGGCGAGCGUUAUCCGGAAUGAUUGGGCGUAAAGGGUGCGUAGGUGGCAGAUCAAGUCUGGAGUAAAAGGUAUGGGCUCAACCCGUACUUGCUCUGGAAACUGAUCAGCUAGAGAACAGAAGAGGACGGCGGAACUCCAUGUGUAGCGGUAAAAUGCGUAGAUAUAUGGAAGAACACCGGUGGCGAAGGCGGCCGUCUGGUCUGGAUUCUGACACUGAAGCACGAAAGCGUGGGGAGCAAAUAGG
rnacentral:rRNA from 2 species